UGAUCCCAAGAGCCUUUAUCCCUUUUAUUUAAAAUAAUUGGCUGUGAGAAACGUAUGAUAUGUAGAAACGACGUGCAAGGGCUCCUGAGGUGAAAAAUUCUCCUGUUCAUC
rnacentral:lncRNA from 1 species